rnacentral:rRNA from 1 species
ACAUGCUAGAUCGAGCGUCUGAGGUGAAAGUAGCUUGCUAGUUUUGCCGGCGAGGGGAGGACGGUGUGAGUAAUCGNCUGGGAAAUUGCGCAGUCGAGGGGGAUAACAGUUGGAAACGACUGCUAAUACCGCAUACGCCCUACGGGGGAAAGCAGGGGACCUUCGGGCCUUGCGCGAUUGGAUAUGCCCAGGUGGGAUUAGCUAGUUGGUGAGGUAAUGGCUCACCAAGGCGACGAUCCCUAGCUGGUCUGAGAGGAUGAUCAGCCACACUGGAACUGAGACACGGUCCAGACUCCUACGGGAGGCAGCAGUGGGGAAUAUUGCACAAUGGGGGAACCCUGAUGCAGCCAUGCCGCGUGUGUGAAGAAGGCCUUCGGGUUGUAAAGCACUUUCAGCGAGGAGGAAAGGUCAGUAGCUAAUAUCUGCUGGCUGUGACGUUACUCGCAGAGAGCACCGGCUAACUCCGUGCAGCGGCCGCGGUAAUACGGAGGGUGCAGCGUAAUCGGAUACUGGCGUAAGCGCACGCGGCGGUGAUAGUAGAUGUGAAGCC